rnacentral:misc_RNA from 1 species
UUUCCGUAGGUGAACCUGCGGAAGGAUCAUUAUUGGAUUUUGAAACUUCAGGCUGCUGCUGGCUCUCCUCGGAGGGCAUGUGCACGCUUGUUGUCCAUUAUUUCUCCCACUGUGCACAAAUUGUAGACCUUUCAGUAGGCCUAUGUUGUUCUUCACAAUCUCUGAAUGUAAUAGAAUGGUUUUGAAUCUUGGGAAAUACAAUACAACUUUCAGCAACGGAUCUCUUGGCUCUC